GCUGGAAGGGAUGUUUAAGGAUCCAACUCCUCCUGAACAGGGACAUCUAUAGCCAGAUCGAGUUGCUCAGAUUUGUGCACAGCCCUUCAAAUACUGAAUGAGCCCGAAGGAUCUGCACAGAAAGGCUGUCUGCCCUGAGUCAGCUCUCUGCAGUCAGGUGCCCAUGGUGCGCUUCCCCAGCAGCAGAGGUGUGAGUGGCAAGAGAACAUGUAUGCCUGCAUGCCAGAACCAGCACCCAUGGAAACCUUGAUGAAAAGCUGGAGGACAGGAUGUGGAGAUGGACUUAAUGUACAAUAACAAGUUAUCAUGAUUCAUACUUUCCUUUGCUGCUGCUGAACAUACUCUCCAUGUGACCAGAACCCACUCAUAAAUCACAAGCAGAAAUUCUGCUACUUGAUGUGAUGGCACUAGCCAUGAUCUGUGUAAGCUCACUGCUUGAGUCUAGGGUAGCAGCCAGCACAGACUCAAUGAGAGGUGACAAAAGGAGGAGGUAAUGUUAGGCGCUUUGAUAGAACAAGACAGAAAGAGCACUGCAGAUUCUUUUCCAAAAUAGGCUCAGCAUGGAUUGUCAGUCCUGGAAUACCAAGCAAAUGUUUACACAGUGAUGAGUCCCUCCCUUUGAGACUAUCCUACCAAUGGAAGAACAAAAUUGAAUGCAAAUCAUCAGCACUCUGUGUGCAGGUUCCCUGCAUCCCAUCAUGAAGCAUAUGAAUUCUAUGCACUCCUAAGAAUUUCAUGCUAAUACAUUCUUUUUUUUUCUGUAUUCUUCCUAAAAGCUUGCCAAGAUAAAUUACUCUCUCAUUUUCCCUAGAUGAAAUCCAAUUUGUGGCACUUCUGAUUUGCUGGAAUAUCUAUGGUGCCUCCAAGUUUUUCGUGGUGCUCUUGAUAGCAGAGUUUGCUUCAUAAUUCAUGAGAAAAUCGCUUUAGUUUUUAUAUCCAGAUUGUGCCAUAAAACCUCACAUUUUCACUUUGUCAGCUGCCUAAAGCAAGGGA
rnacentral:lncRNA from 1 species